UGCGCGUCGGGAACUCGAGCGCGACAAGGCGGAUACCGGAGCCCUUCCUCGCGCGCGUCGUUCGGUCGGUUUUSGCAUCCGUUUCUUUUCCUUSUSGACCUUCUCCSAAGNUGGGGGAGGGAAUUUGACCGAUGCGUUUCCAUCCUGGACCUCAGCUCAGGCG
rnacentral:misc_RNA from 1 species